rnacentral:rRNA from 1 species
UACGUAGGGAGCAAGCGUUGUUCGGAUUUACUGGGCGUAAAGGGCGCGUAGGCGGCAAAUUAAGUCAGCUGUGAAAUCUCCGAGCUUAACUCGGAACGGUCAGCUGAUACUGAUCUGCUAGAGUGCGGAAGGGGCAAUCGGAAUUCUUGGUGUAGAGGUGAAAUUCGUAGAUAUUCGGAAGAACACCAGUGGCGAAGGCGACUUACUGGACACAUAUUGACGCUGAGGUGCGAAAGCGUGGGGAGCAAACAGG